rnacentral:lncRNA from 1 species
UACACCCACCCUUCCGCCUUGAGCCCUCCAGGUCCUGCUGUGCCCAUGACCCCCGCACGCGAGUCCCUCACAGCCUGAGCGUCGGAGGUCAAGACGUCCAUUAGCUACAGCCUUGAGGAGAGCCGUUUCGCUUCCGAGGGGGAUAAUAUGCCAGAUGAAGAGGAACAUCAGCGCUCGGCAUUUGCUAGGCGCUAAUUUCUCCUGAGAAAGGUGAGCGGACUUUUUUAAGCCGCAAGCUGGCAGAUUUCAUUCUGUGCUAUUUCUGAGGUCUUGGCAGCACAGCCAACUCUCCAGCCUAGAUCCCUGAGAACUCCAAAGAAUCUGGUGCAGGGUGUUCCUGUGAAUGAAGAUUUUGACAAGCGCCGACAGAAUCUGGGUGAUAUGGAGUGGAACGGGAACAGCAUGAAAAAAAAUGCAGUCAACAACAGUAAGAAAAAAUAUGAUAGAGGUAUGUCAAGCAGAUGAUAAAAAUUACUGUUAUUUUCCAGAUUUUAUGAUAUUUACAAUACUUUUACAU